UAUCUGAGAUCUUACCCGUCAUUGG
rnacentral:misc_RNA from 1 species